rnacentral:rRNA from 1 species
AGUGAACGCUGGCGGUAGGCCUAACACAUGCAAGUCGAACGGCAGCACAGUAAGAGCUUGCUCUUACGGGUGGCGAGUGGCGGACGGGUGAGGAUUACAUCGGAAUCUACUUUUUCGUGGGGGAUAACGUAGGGAAACUUACGCUAAUACCGCAUACGACCUACGGGUGAAAGCAGGGGAUCUUCGGACCUUGCGCGAUUGAAUGAGCCGAUGUCGGAUUAGCUAGUUGGCGGGGUAAAGGCCCACCAAGGCGACGAUCCGUAGCUGGUCUGAGAGGAUGAUCAGCCACACUGGAACUGAGACACGGUCCAGACUCCUACGGGAGGCAGCAGUGGGGAAUAUUGGACAAUGGGCGCAAGCCUGAUCCAGCCAUACCGCGUGGGUGAAGAAGGCCUUCGGGUUGUAAAGCCCUUUUGUUGGGAAAGAAAAGCAGCAGGUUAAUACCCCGCUGUUCUGACGGUACCCAAAGAAUAAGCACCGGCUAACUUCGUG